rnacentral:lncRNA from 12 species
GUCAGUUUCUGUUUAUUCUCUUGUCAGAUACUUCUGUAUUGUUGGCAUGUGAAUUAAAAGUCAAGCAUAAUCUUCAGUUUCUUAACUAGGGACACUGUUUAGCAGGAAAGACGGUCAGGAGCAGAGCGGAAGAAAACAGGGUGUUUUGGUAUGCAUUGGUGAAAUCAGUUAAGUGUGAAGAAUGGACUACUGCCUUAAUCCACUCAUGAAAGGUGCAGGCAGCGCUUUGCUUCUGAGGAAGAGCCACGUCUGAAGGGCCAGUUCAGUACAGCCUGGCACCAACACAGACGGACGUCAACAUCAGUUCCAACUGUGAGUCAAUUUGCAAUUGGGGGACUCUUUGAAGUGGUA